rnacentral:lncRNA from 1 species
GCGUUUCACUUUCUUCCGUCUUGAAGAAUCAAACGUGCUUCUGCCAGCAAAGUUAAGAAAAAGAAACGGUGGCUGAGUUGCACAAGUGAACCAGGACAACACAAAAUCCUCUUUGGUCAAAAAGCUGUGAAAUGUGCUAACAUACAUUUACUGGGUGUACGAAGAUGACUAAGGAGAAAUGCAGUGUACACUAGGUGACUCAAAGCAAGAGCGAGCAGAUGGCCACGUCGUUAGCUGGUGGCCACAGCCUUCCCAGAUGAGUUUUGGAAUUUCCACCAAAGUUGGGAUUAGGCUCAGGAUAUGCCGGUGGCACAGAGCACCCCAGGGGAGCGUGGAAGAAGAGGAAACCAUUCCUAGCGACUCAUCUCGUGGUUGGGUGAGUCAGGGGUCUGCUGCUGGUGGUCACAAAGGCACGUGGCUGACGACACCGCCUUUGUGUGCUCUGCAGGAUGCAGACUGUCUCCAAAAAUUAAUCCUCCCCGCUUGA